AGAGUUUGAUCCUGGCUCAGGAUGAACGCUGGCGGCGUGCCUAACACAUGCAAGUCGAGCGAGAAUUUAACUUUUGAUCCUUCGGGUGAAAAAGUUGAAGGAAAGCGGCGGACGGGUGAGUAACGCGUGGGAAACCUACCUCAUACAGGGGAAUAGCCUCGGGAAACCGGGAUUAAUGCCCCAUAAAACUCUAGUACCGCAUGGUACAUGAGUCAAAGUUCAGGCGGUAUGAGAUGGUCCCGCGUCCCAUUAGCUAGUUGGUAAGGUAAAAGCUUACCAAGGCGACGAUGGGUAGCCGGCCUGAGAGGGCGAUCGGCCACACUGGAACUGAGACACGGUCCAGACUCCUACGGGAGGCAGCAGUGGGGAAUAUUGCACAAUGGGGGAAACCCUGAUGCAGCGAUGCCGCGUGAGCGAUGAAGGCCUUCGGGUCGUAAAGCUCUGUCCUUAGGGAAGAAUACUGACGGUACCUAAGGAGGAAGCACCGGCUAACUACGUGCCAGCAGCCGCGGUAAUACGUAGGGUGCAAGCGUUGUCCGGAAUUACUGGGCGUAAAGAGUUCGUAGGCGGCUUCAUAAGUCAGGUGUGAAAGGCAUUGGCUCAACCAAUGUAAGCACUUGAAACUGUGGAGCUUGAGUACUGGAGAGGAGAGUGGAAUUCCUAGUGUAGCGGUGAAAUGCGUAGAUAUUAGGAGGAACACCGGUGGCGAAGGCGACUCUCUGGACAGUUACUGACGCUGAGGAACGAAAGCGUGGGGAGCAAACAGGAUUAGAUACCCUGAUAGUCCACGCCGUAAACGAUGAGUGCUAGGUGUUGGAAGGACACCUUUCAGUGCCGCAGCUAACGCAUUAAGCACUCCGCCUGGGGAGUACGGUCGCAAGACUGAAACUCAAAGGAAUUGACGGGGACCCGCACAAGCAGCGGAGCAUGUGGUUUAUUUCGAAGCACGCGAGACUUACCAGGACUUGACAUCCCUCUGACCGCUCUAGAGAAUAGAGCUUUCCCUUCGGGACGAAGUGACAGGGGUGCAUGUUGUCGUCAGCUCGUGUCUGAAAUGUUUGGUAGUCCCGCACGAGCGCAACCUUACUUAGUGGCAGCAAGUAGUGCCACUCCUAGAAGAACUGCGUGACAACGAGACGGUGGUAGACCUAAUCUAUAUGUCCCUUAGUUCUGCUACAACGGUGCUACAUUGGU
rnacentral:rRNA from 1 species